GCCCUGGUGGCAUACUAGUUAAGCGUUUGGCUGCUAACCAAAAGGUUGGUGGUUCGAAUCCACCAGUGCU
rnacentral:tRNA from 1 species